rnacentral:rRNA from 1 species
AAUCAACGCUGGCGGCGUGCCUCAGACAUGCAAGUCGAACGAUUAAAGCUCUCUUCGGAGAGUGUAUAGAGUGGCGCACGGGUGAGUAACACGUAAGUAAUCUACCCUCGAGUGGGGAAUAACAACCGGAAACGGUUGCUAAUACCGCAUAAUGCAGCGGCACCGCAAGGUGACAGUUGUUAAAGAUUUAUCGCUUGAGGAGGAGCUUGCGGCAGAUUAGCUAGUUGGUAGGGUAACGGCUUACCAAGGCUACGAUCUGUAACCGGUCUAAGAGGACGGUCGGUCACACUGACACUGAAUAACGGGUCAGACUCCUACGGGAGGCAGCAGUCGGGAAUUUUGGGCAAUGGGCGAAAGCCUGACCCAGCAACGCCGCGUGAAGGAUGAAGUAUUUCGGUAUGUAAACUUCGAAAGAAUAGGAAGAAUUAAUGACGGUACUAUUUAUAAGGUCCGGCUAACUACGUGCCAGCAGCCGCGGUAAAGUAU